GGUAACCUGCCUCACACAGGGGGAUAACAGUUGGAAACGACCGCUAAUACCGCAUAACCCGCUGGUGCCGCAUGGCACUGANGGAAAAGAUUUAUCGGUGUGAGAUGGACCCGCGUCUGAUUAGCCAGUUGGCNGGGUAACGGCCUACCAAAGCGACGAUCAGNAGCCGGCCUGAGAGGGUGAACGGCCNCAUUGGGACUGAGACACGGNCCAGACUCCUGCGGGAGGCAGCAGNGGGGAAUAUUGCACAAUGGGGGAAACCCUGAUGCAGCGACGCCGCGUGAGUGAAGAAGUAUUUCGGUAUGUAAAGCUCUAUCAGCAGGGAAGAAAAUGACGGUACCUGAUUAAGAAGCCCCGGCUAACUACGUGCCAGCAGCCGCGGUAAUACGUAGGGGGCAAGCGUUAUCCGGAUUUACUGGGUGUAAAGGGAGCGUAGACGGUGAUGCAAGUCAGAAGUGAAAGCCCGGGGCUCAACUCCGGGACUGCUUUUGAAACUGUGUGACUGGAGUGCAGGAGAGGUAAGCGGAAUUCCUGGUGUAGCGGUGAAAUGCGUAGAUAUCAGGAGGAACACCAGUGGCGAAGGCGGCUUACUGGACUGUAACUGACGUUGAGGCUCGAAAGCGUGGGGGAGCAAACAGGAUUAGAUACCCUGGUAGUCCACGCCGUAAACGAUGAAUAUUAGGUGU
rnacentral:rRNA from 1 species